UACGUAGGGUGCGAGCGUUGUCCGGAAUUAUUGGGCGUAAAGGGCUCGUAGGCGGUUUGUCGCGUCGACUGUGAAAACCUACAGCUUAACUGUGGGCUUGCAGUCGAUACGGGCAGACUUGAGUUCGGUAGGGGAGACUGGAAUUCCUGGUGUAGCGGUGGAAUGCGCAGAUAUCAGGAGGAACACCAAUGGCGAAGGCAGAUCUCUGGGCCGUAACUGACGCUGAGGAGCGAAAGCAUGGGGAGCGAACAGG
rnacentral:rRNA from 1 species